CUCGGGGUCGGGUCCCGGCGCGCUCCGUGGGGCUGAAUUGCGGGGGCGGCCGCCGAAGUGCUCACCGCUUCGUGGGCGGCUCCGGGCGCCCCGACCCAGGGGCACGGCCCAGCCCCGGGCACCGGCGAGGCCUCAGGUGGGCGGCAGAUGGUGCGGCCCGGCACAACAGGUGGGCGCAUUGUGCGCGGGUCCCAAUUAACCUCGCCUCAUUAGCAGCCGGAAUCGCAGCCCCGGCGCAGGGGAUGGGAUUAUAGUUGGAGCCGGGGCCGCUCCGAGCUCCGAUCAUCUGGGCGUGCCUGCGAGCAGCAGGGCUGCCUCGCUGCGCCCCGGUAGCAGCCCGCGCCGCUCCUCGCUGGCGGCUUCGGGGCUUCAUUUGUUGGGGCUUCGGGGCUCUUUCCCCAUUUCCCACGCAGGAGCAGUUUGCCCUCGCACAGAGCAGCAGUGCCCGCCCGGGGCACGCGGCGCUGUGCAGAGCUGCGGGAGGGAGCGCUGCCCGUGUGCGGAGCCGCGCUCGGUGCUGCGCUGAGACACGGAGCAGCUGUGAGCUCCUGCGUGGGACGUGCACGCUGUGCCCCCUUGGCCCCAGCGGGGCUUUUGGGGUGAAGCCGUUUUCAAUCGGCAAAUAUUAAUUGCUGGAUUAUUUUUGAAUGCGUUGUUAAUGUCUUGGAGCUGCAUUUCAGUCCUCGCUGCCGUUGUUUGUGGCGCUGAUGCCCCAGUGAUGCCAAAUGCCAGGGAUGAGCAUGCAGCUCCCAGCAUCCUUCGCCCCCACCCAGGUCUGGCAGCGUGGCCCCAGGCUCAGCCCCGAGCCCGAGGGAAAUGAGAGGGAACAGAACAAGCGGAAGAAUGCAGCAGUGCGAGCUGCGUCCUGCCUGCCUCAGCCACCAGAAAUGUCCCGGGGGGCCACGGAGAGUCCUGGAGGUGUGAGCGUCCACAGAGCUGCACAGGCUGAAUUCGUGCACUCUGAAUCCCUCAUCACCGUUUUUCCUUUCUUCUCGGGCUGCCGUGCAUCGCCCAGGCAGCACCUGGGCCGGGGUGUGGGCUCUGAUUUGCAGUGCCAGUCGCACAGUGGGUCCGUCCCAUCACCCAGCUGGGACAGCGGUACGCCUGGGGAGCUGCUGCCCGUGUGGAGAUGCUUAUAGAGAUACCUCUAUAAAUUAUAUAUACAUAGAAUAUUUACACGGUCAUAGAAUCAUAGCAUGACUUGGGUUGGAAUGGACCUUAAAGAUCAUCCGGUUUCAACUGCCAAUAAUUAUAUGCGAUAUGUAACAUUAUGUUGUGAGGAAGAGGGAAUACAGCAGAAUGUAAAUACAUGGAUAAUACCAAACCCAGCUUCUCAUUCCGCACAUUAUUGCUAUUCCUCGGAGCAGUCGGAGGAAGGCAGCCAGGGCUGCAUGGGAUGCUCUGCGCAGUCGUAUCAGAUACCAGCAAUGGGCUGGGGCUGUGCUGCACUGCUCAGGACGGGGCCGGGGAUGAUCAGGGGAUGGGGAUGGGGAUGGGGACAUGGACAGGGGUGGACAGGAGCACGAGGAAACCUCGGGAGCUGAACGUGCACCAACAGCCGCAGGCUUUGCUUGUGCCGCACCGGUCGGGCAGCCCGUGCUGCUCAUUAGCAGAGAGCCGGGGCAGCUCCUCUGCCUGUAAUCACCCUAAUGAGCAGUUGCCAUGCUGUCUGCAGCAGGGUGAUGCCGUGACCUGCUUUCAGGCCGUUUGAUCUCGCCUGCCCGCGUUCCCCCGCCGGCUGCUGCUGCCUGUGUGCUCCAGCACACGUGGUCUGAGCGCGCCUGGUGCCAGCACGUUCAGCACGCCGAGGUCCUCUGCAGCCUCAGCAUCACCCAGGGACACAGCUGGCACCACGCUGCUCCCUGAAUACAUGGAGCCUGGCUGCAGGGCGGCCUUGGAACGUGGGUCUGACAGUGGGGAAAAUGAGCAAAGCGCCCCAAAAGUCUCAGGGAGGAACGCCGAGCCAGAGAGCUGAUCCAGCUGAAAAGUCAUGGCAUGGGCUGCAUGAAUUAAAAGAUGUGUUUGCUCUUUUGCAGCCAGCUGGGUCAUAGAUACAGCUCCACAGGGUGUGGUGGCACAGAGCAGCACUGCUGGCAGCACUGCAUGCGCUUCGCUCGUCCUGGCCUUCACAGCGCUGCUGUUGUGCCCACUCCCCCAGCCCUUGUGAGGGGAAAAUGCUUUAUUUGCUCUCUUUUCCUCCUUCCAUCUGAGGACAGAGCACAGCAGAGCUCACUGAGAAUGGCUGGAUGCUGCACAGGGGUUUGGUAAGGGCAGAGCUCAGGACCAACCCUCUGCUGCCCGAGGCUCUGGCGCUGCCUCUGUCAGCUGGAAAUACCUGCUGCCCUGCUGCUGGGAAGGAGCAGCACUCACCUUGCGAGUUGCUUGGGAUUCAGGGGAAGGAGGAACAGGCAGGGCUCAAUUAGUCCGGGUUCACUGAAGUUCUGUGGCUGCACGCUUUGCUUCACUUCUCUGUUGCACAUCUCCAUGUGCAGAGCAGUGCUGCGCUUUUUUGCUUUCCAAUGCAUGUCCCUUGUGAGGAAGCAGUGCUGUUGUCCACGUGUUUACAGCCCUCCUGUUAACAGCACUGCUGGGUUUCCUGCUCUGCAAAAACCCAUGCUGAAAUGAGAGGGUACACAGGAGCCCUGAAGGACGUCUGCCCACUGCUGCUGCCCCACUGCCACUCCAGGACUGCUUCCCUUCAGGAGCCCACGCACCAGGAAUGCUCAGUGCAAAGAGCUCAGCACAAAGCACGCUGUGUUCUGGCUGCUGCUGCAUUCCCUGCAUCUAAUUGCAGCCGUGGGCACCACGCUCUGAGUGCAGUCUCUCCAUGCAGCACAUCGGGAAUCCACCGAGAACAGCUGCCAGGAAGCUGAGCAGAAAGUUGCUGAGGCUGCUUUGCAGCAUGCCACGACGGGGUGACACAUGGAGCUCCUCUUGCUGCUCCGAAGCCAUGGCUGUACUUUGUUCAGAAACAAAUGUCACGUUCUCUGUGCAAGAAGCCAAUGUGGCCUCAAAAAGCACCUGAACAGCCGCCUCCUGGUGGGUCUGCUGUGUGUUCUGGCAGGGAGGUGGCACACACUGGGACAGAACCAGCACCGUGCACUGAUAAGGGUUCUUGGGUUAAAAUGAGGAGCGGAGCAAGGACCCACACCGACACCUCAAGCCUGCUGCGUUUCCUCUUCUUGCUUCAUAAGCUGACAGCUGCUGGCAAUGCUCAGAAAUAGCAGAGCAGUGUGUUGCAGGCAUGCGGAGAGCGGCUGCGUGGGCAGCAGGAGGGCGGACAUUUCAGCCCCAUGGAGCAACAGCAGAGAGCAUGGAGCUCCCGGCUGCGGGGGGGGCAUGCACAGCUGUGAGUUACAGCCCCGGCAGGGAAGGGCUGCAGAGGAGAGCUGCUCUGCCUUAUAAAUAUCCCGAGAGCCGCGUGCGUUCCUCUGUGGGAGAUCCACUGCUUCAAGAGGGGCUUCCCAAGGGCCUCCGCAAAGCACUGCUGCUGUGGGGCACCCGCUGCACGCAGCCCGACGGUGUGUGGGGCUCCCACGUGUCAGCCUCAAGAACUCAUGGAUGGAAAUGACUUUGUGAAGCAAUGGUUGGACGUGGCCUGCGGCUGGCAGGGCAGGCCUCAGAAAUCUCCUCACUGCAGAUGAAGGUAGCGAUGGCAGCGCGUGCCAGGAGGUUCUGAGACGUAUUUAGCGGUAUUUUGGGAAGAAAUGUCAAAUAUGCACCAGUGAAGCAGGUUUUAAUUGUUAGUACGCUUGUAAUUUCCACUGGCUAUCAACAGGGCUAAUUAGGACUGCAAAUAUUUCCCAUCUUGUCUCCUGACCCGCUUGAUAUCGUCUUCUAAUGGUGCGUAUGUGGUAAAUAUCUGAGCAGGAGUCGUAAUGGAAGGAAG
ensembl:lncRNA